AUGCUCCCCUCAGCAGCACAUAUACUAAACAAUUAGAGUGACACAGAGAUUAGCAUGGCCCCUGUGCAAGGAUGGCACACAAAUUCGUGAAGUGUUCCAUGUUUUU
ensembl:snRNA U6 U6 spliceosomal RNA